AUACGGAGGAUCCGAGCGUUAUCCGGAUUUAUUGGGUUUAAAGGGUGCGCAGGCGGCCAUUUAAGUCAGCGGUUAAAUCGUGGGGCUCAACCCCAUUCUGCCGUUGAUACUGGGUGGCUUGAUUGCGGUCGAGGUUGGCGGAAUUCGUUGUGUAGCGGUGAAAUGCAUAGAUAUGACGAAGAACUCCGAUUGCGUAGGCAGCUGACCAGACCGCAAAUGACGCUCAUGCACGAAAGUGCGGGGAUCGAACAGGAUUAGAUACCCUGGUAGUCCGCACAGUAAACGAUGAAUACUUGUUUUCGGCGAUAUAAUGUCGGAGGCAAAGCGAAAGCGAUAAGUAUUCCACCUGGGGAGUACGCCGGCAACGGUGAAACUCAAAUGAAUUGACGGGG
rnacentral:rRNA from 1 species